AUACCACAGAAUACUAUUAUCACAGAAUAAAUCACAGAUAUAUAAUACAACGAUUAAUUAAUACAUUCAAUCAAUGUCAGUGGUUGACGGAUUCUGAAUAAUAAUAGAAUCUUAAUACAAAAAUAAACAUUAAUUUACGCUCUGAAAAAGAAUGAGAAUGGACUACCCUAAAUUGCAUCCACACUGGAUACGAUAGAUGUGGAUACCUGAUGCACAAAUGGAAAGCAGUGCUAACCCAAAACUGCGAAUGUGGUAACCCAUACCAGGCCAUAUCGCAUAUACUAACCGAAUGUCCUAUCGUGAAAUUUAAAGGGGUCGGCAACCCGCGGCCCACAAGCCGCAUGUGACCAGAGGAGCAAUUUUUUAUGGCCUGCACAAAGGUGGU